AUUCCAGCUCCAAUAGCGUAUACUAAAGUUGUUGCAGUUAAAAAGCUCGUAGUUGAAUUUCUGGUCGUGGCAAUCGGUCAGCCCCUCACGGGGUUCGUACCAGGUUGCUGCGUCCAUCCUCGGGGAGAGCACAUCGGGCAUUCAGUUGUCUGGUGUGGGAUCCUCGUCAUUUACUGUGAGCAAAAUAGAGUGUUCAAAGCAGGCUUAGGCCGUUGAAUACAUUAGCAUGGAAUAAUAAGAUAGGACCUUGGUCUAUUUUGUUGGUUUGCAUUCCAAGGUAAUGAUUAAUAGGGAUAGUUGGGGGUAUUCGUAUUCAAUUGUCAGAGGUGAAAUUCUUGGAUUUAUGGAAGACGAACUACUGCGAAAGCAUUUACCAAGGAUGUUUUCAUUG
rnacentral:rRNA from 1 species